GGAGCAGGAGCGGCGCCAUGGCGGCCCUGGAGCGGCCCGUGCCCAGUCCCGAGGCGUUCCUGGGCCAGCCCUGGGCCGCCUGGGUCCGGGAGGCCGCCCCCCCGCACGCGCACUGCGCCGCCCCCCCGCACAGUGUAGAUCUAGAAGUGACUGGAAAAGAGGGUGGAAAAAGCAGGGAGGUUAUGAGGCUUAAUAAAGAAGAUAUGCACUUAUUUGGCCAUUAUCCAGCUCAUGACGAUUUCUAUCUAGUAGUGUGCAAUAUCUGCAAUCAGGUAGUCAAGCCACAGGUUUUCCAGUCGCACUGCGAACGAAGACACAAUUCAAUGUGUAAACCUUCCCCAUCUCCAGCUUCUCCACCCUCCAAUUCCAGGACAUCACUAGUACAAAUUAAACAGAAAUCCUGUAUCAGCGGCCAUAACCCUAUCAGCAGCAACUCAAAGCCAUUCAGAACUCCCAAAGACAAUCUACUUACCUCCACUAGCAAACAGCACACAGUCUUUCCUUCAAAAGUAUCAAGGGAUAAACCAUGUGUUCCUGUUCCUGUAGUCAGUCUAGAGAAAAUUCCUAACCUAGUGAAGGCAGAUGGUGCCAAUGUUAAAAUGAAUUCUACAACCACUACCACCAUCACCUCCUCAGCCUCUUCAUCCACCAUACCUGCUCCAACUUUGGUUAAAUCUGCUUUGACAUCUAAGUCAGUGCCACCAUCACCAGAAAAGAUUCUGAACGGCAAAGGAAUUCUAGCUCCUUCAAUAGACAAGAAACACCAAAACGGCACUAAAAGCAGUAACAAGCCUUACAAAAGACUUUCAGAAAGAGAAUUUGACCCAAAUAAACACUGUGGAGUACUGGAUCCUGAAACAAAGAAACCUUGCACAAGAUCACUCACCUGCAAGACUCAUUCACUUAACCAUCGACGAGCAGUUCCAGGUCGCAAAAAACAGUUUGACAUCCUUCUAGCUGAACACAAAGCUCGAUCCAGGGAAAAAGAAGUUGCAAAAGACAAGGAGCAUCCACAGUCUAUAAGGGAAACCCAUCAGAGCCAUCCCACACCAGCACAGGAUUCUUUGCCAGGAUCUUCACUGAACUCUGGGCAAGAACCUAAAGUAACAUUUCCUGCAAAAUCUAGACCACCCAAUUCUGUACUUCCUAGACCAUCAUCUGCAAAUAGUGUAAACAGCAACAGUUCUUCAAACCACAGUGGCUAUGUACCAGAACUGCCACUACCUUCCAUGGGAGGAGAUUUAGCUAGUAGACUGUCCAGUGAUGAAGGAGAAGUGGAUGGAGCUGAAGAAUCCGAGAAAUUAGACUGUCAUUUUUCUGGACACCACCCGAGGCCUCUUGGGUUUUGUUCAUUUGGCAGUCACUUAAUGGGAAGAGGAUACUAUGUAUUUGACAGAAGAUGGGACCGUUUUCGAUUCGCACUAAACUCCAUGGUAGAAAAACACUUGAAUUCACAGAUGUGGAAGAAAAUCCCUCCUGCAGUAGAUAGCCCCAUGCCUUCUCCAGCAGCACAUAUCACCACCCCUUUUCCGGCAUCGGUUUUACAGCCUUUCAGCAACCCCAAUGCAGUGUAUAUUCCUUCAACACCCAUCAGCUCAAGAAUCACUUCUUCUUACAUAAUGACAUCAGCCAUGUUAUCGAACACAGCCUUUGUGACAGCGUCGGAUACGAAUUCCAUUGUGUCACACACCACAACUUUUCCUCAUGUGGCCGCAAGUUUAAAUAUCAUGGACUCACCUUUUAAGGCACCAUCAGCUGUGUCACCAGUGCCAGCAGUCAUCCCUUCCCCAUCCCACAAGCCAUCCAAAACAAAAACCAGCAAAUCCUCAAAAGUCAAAGACCUAUCGUCUCGGAGCGAUGAAUCUUCAAGUAACAAAAAGAAAAAGUCACAGUCUUCUUCCUCUUCAUUAUCUUUGCAAACAUCCUCCUCGUCUUCAUUUUCAGGGUCCCACAAAAAGAACUGUGUCCUGAACUCAAGUUCAACUUUGAACUCCUAUCAGGCUACAUCUUCCUAUAACAGUAUGUCUGUACACAAUACAAACAAUGGAACAAGCCCACUCAGUGCCAAAUCGGAGCCCUCAGGACGGACUUCAUUAGCAAGUAGCUCAACUGACUCAGUAAAACACAUGAGCAUGGUAGUAAGCAGUAUUGACUCCUCUAAUUUGUCUGUAUCCUCCUUUGUGCACCAUUCAGGGGACCAUUCCCUGACAGCACAUAAUGCGGUGUCUUCUCUACCCCUUUCUUUUGACAAAUCAGAAGGAAAAAAACGUAAAAACUCUAGUACUAGUAGCAAAGCCUGUAAAAUCACUAAAAUGCCUGGUAUGAAUAGUGUUCACAAAAAGAACACUGCCAACCUUAUUUCUACGGUGCCAGAUCCUCCAACCAGCUCGCUCUCUCGGCAGAUUGGAAAAAAUAACAGUGUAGCUUUGUCACAAUCCAGUCCUUCGAGUACAUCAAACCCAGUACACAACAGACAAAAAACAUCAAAUCGGACUGGUAGGAUAAGGACUCUUCCAUAGCAAGGAAAAGGAACCAGCCUAUAAUCUCUAGCUCUCAGCAACCCUACACCACAAAGUUUUUAUUUUCUGUGUCCUGCAGGGUAAGAUUAACUCCAGUGCGGAGAACCAGCCAGUUGGACUAACGGGGUUCUGUGACGCGUUCUCGAGGUGCCCAGAACCGUAAACCCCUGUUACCCCUCUGCCUCAGCAGGGGCUGCUGUGGCACCAGAAGAGAGAGCAGCAAGCCAGCAGAGCGGGAUGGGGAGAGUCUGCAUUCCUCACAGUGGGGCCA